CCUACGGGUGGCAGCAGUGAGGAAUAUUGGUCAAUGGACGAGAGUCUGAACCAGCCAAGUAGCGUGAAGGAUGACUGCCCUAUGGGUUGUAAACUUCUUUUAUAUGGGAAUAAAACGUUCCACGUGUGGGAUUUUGUAUGUACCAUAUGAAUAAGGAUCGGCUAACUCCGUUCCAGCAGCCGCGGUAAUACGGAGGAUCCGAGCGUUAUCCGGAUUUAUUGGGUUUAAAGGGAGCGUAGGUGGAUUGUUAAGUCAGUUGUGAAAGUUUGCGGCUCAACCGUAAAAUUGCAUUUGCAACUGGCAGUCUUGAGUACAGUAGAGGUGGGCGGAAUUCGUGGUGGAGCGGUGAAAUGCUUAGAUAUCACGAAGAACUCCGAUUGCGAAGGCAGUUCACUGGACUGCAACUGACACUGAGGCUCGAAAGUGUGGGUAUCAAACAGGAUUAGAUACCCCAGUAGUC
rnacentral:rRNA from 1 species